UACAGAGGGUGCAAGCGUUAAUCGGAAUUACUGGGCGUAAAGCGCGCGUAGGCGGCUGCCUAAGUCGGGUGUGAAAGCCCCCGGGCUCAACCUGGGAACUGCACUCGAUACUGGGCGGCUAGAGUAUGAGAGAGGGAGGUAGAAUUCCACGUGUAGCGGUGAAAUGCGUAGAUAUGUGGAGGAAUACCGGUGGCGAAGGCGGCCUCCUGGUUCAAUACUGACGCUGAGGUGCGAAAGCGUGGGGAGCAAACAGG
rnacentral:rRNA from 1 species